rnacentral:rRNA from 1 species
CCUACGGGAGGCAGCAGUAGGGAAUAUUUCUCACUUUUUUCCCCCCUGAAUCAGCAACGCCGCGUGGAGGAUGAAGGUUUUCGGAUUGUAAACUCCUUUUGUUAGAGAAGAUAAUGACGGUAUCUAACGAAUAAGCACCGGCUAACUCCGUGCCAGCAGCCGCGGUAAUACGGAGGGUGCAAGCGUUACUCGGAAUCACUGGGCGUAAAGAGCGCGUAGGCGGGAUAGCAAGUCAGAUGUGAAAUCCUAUGGCUUAACCAUAGAACUGCAUUUGAAACUGUUAUUCUAGAGUAUGGGAGAGGGAG